GGCAUCUUGGUUCUCAUACCAUCCAAAUGAGAAACUUUAAGCCCAAGUGACUGUUUUAAAGAUUUAAUGAAAUCUAGAAGCUUUGCUAGAAGCUUCUGACAUCAUCUGGCUUGUCAUUGAGAAUCCAAGCAAACGGAUGUGAUAGUCUUAUAACUUAGAAAAUGUCUGCUCUUUAUAUCAUGCAUCUUCCUCCAAAACAUGUGUGUGAAAGUCACACAAAUUCAUGUUGAUCAAAUUGUGUGUUCCAGACUAGAAUUGCUUAACUGCCUUCAGCUGAAAGACAUUCUGGAUUAAAUCCAAGGACCAUCUUGAAGUUCACUGGUGUCCAGAACUGCCCCCAUUGAAACAUUUUUGGAGAACCACCGGAGUCUAUCAGAAUUGCAAUGGAUAUGGAUUUCAUAAGUGGCUGAACUCUAAAUGCACAUGCUGUCACAAACAGGCGAAAAGAGCUAAGAAUAACAGAGGUGACAUUCCAUUCUGGCACUUACUGUCUACAGUUAAAUUCUUAAUCAAAACAAAAGAUUUAUUUUAAUCCUUUUGAGAGUUGAAGUAUCUCAACUUUCCUAAAUAUCAUCAUGGUUUAAAACACAUCGAGGCGAAAUUCAGCAUAUUAGAGAAAGAUGCAGCUCAAGAACCUUAACAAAUAUAAAAACAAUUGAUAAUCUGACUUUGUAAGCAUGUGGACCAUCUUUGGCCAGACCUGGCACAAACAACUCUCACAUUAAUGUUUUUUUCUUCAUUAUUUGCACAGUCACAAAAUCUGCUUGCAAGAUCCAUUCUUCUCAUAUGGAAGUCAUUUUAAAAAGAAUGUUAUUCAAUAUUAUAUUGAAUAUAGAUAGUAUAUGUUAUCUUCCAACUCUUUAAAAAACAAAACAAAACCCUCCUGAGUUGGAAGGGACCCACAAGGAUAAUCAAGUCCAUCUCAUGGGUCCGUACAGGACCACACAAAAAUCAGAUACUAUGUCUGAGAGCAUUGUACAAACACUUGAACUCUGGAAUCUGAAUCUAUAUUUUAUUGAAUCUAUAUUUUAUUGAAGUUACAAGCCAUCUUCUUCUAUGGCUAUGAAUGAGGAUGAUUCAGUUUAGUUUCUUCAAUCUCUAAUUCACUCAGGAUGAGAAAUAAAGACCAGGAUCUAUUUAUUCUAAAAUCUUUU
rnacentral:lncRNA from 1 species